GUGCGAGCGUCGGGGCGUUUGUUAUUUAUUGCAGUGUCUCUCCACUCACUGGCUUCGGCUCUUCUCCGUUUUCUCCGUUUGUGCGUAUCAGAAUUCAGAGCGCAAAACUUUGUUUAAAAAAUUAGGUCAAAAGAAAUUCAACAUCAAGAUGGCACGAAACGAAGAGAAAGCUCAGUCGAUGCUCAAUCGAUUCAUAACACUAAAAGCCGAAGAAAAAAAGAAACCUAAAGAGCGCCGUCCUUACCUAGCCUCCGAAUGCCGCGACCUCGCCGAAGCCGACAGGUGGCGUCAGCAAAUCAUGCGCGAAAUCGGCCGCAAAGUUGCCGAGAUUCAAAACGAAGGUCUCGGCGAACACCGCCUCCGCGACUUAAACGACGAAAUCAACAAGUUAAUACGCGAGAAAUCGCAUUGGGAACGCCGUAUUGUUGAGCUUGGCGGUCCUAAUUAUGCGAAACAUUCUGCUAAAAUGACGGAUUUGGAAGGAAAUAUUAUUGAUGUGCCUAACCCUAGCGGGCGUGGGCCUGGCUAUAGGUAUUUUGGUGCGGCGAAGAAGUUGCCGGGUGUCAGGGAGUUGUUUGAGAAACCGCCGGAGCUGAGAAAGAGGCGGACGAGGUAUGAUAUUUACAAGAGGAUUGACGCGAGUUAUUAUGGGUAUAGGGACGAGGAGGAUGGGAUAUUGGAGAAGGUUGAAGGUCCUGCGGAGGAAGAGAUGAGAAUGCGUGCGGUGGAGGAGUGGAAGAGGAUGGAGGCAAUAAGGAAGGAAGCGAGGAAAGGAGCCAAGGAAGUUGUGAGUGUUGGAGUUGGUGUUGGAGCAGAGGUUUUGUUUGAGGAGGAGGAGGAUGUGGUGGAGGAGGAGAGGAGGGAGGAGAGGGAGAGAGAGGAUAUUGAAAGGAAGGAAAAGGAGAGAGAGUUUGUUGUGCAUGUUCCGUUGCCAGACGAUAAGGAGAUUGAGAGGAUGGUUUUGGAGAAGAAGAAAAUGGAGUUGUUGAGCAAGUAUGCUAGUGAUUCAUUGAUGGAGGAGCAGACUGAAGCUAAGGUUAUGCUUAACAUUCAGCACUAGAUGGUUGAUGGAAGUAAAGAUGAAGGAAUGGUGACCAAAAGUCAUCUACUUUGUACACGUGGAAUCUUCCCAGGAUAAGGUGUUGUAAAUCAUUCCUUACAUUAUGAUAAAGAGCUCAUCGUUUUCUUGAGGGCGGGGCGUGUUUGGUGCUUUGGUUGCGGCUGUACGAAAAUGCUAUUUAUAAGUGUUUGGUUAGAUAUUAACCACACUUUUAUUGUUGCGGGUUCCAUCCAAAACUGAAGUUGGAACUUAGUUUCUUGAAAAACAAUUUGGAUUUACUUUUUGCGAAGGCGUGGUCUCCUUUCUCCUUCACCGACAAUGCAGAUAAUUAACCAUUGCAAAAAUUUCUCAAAACAAUCCGAGAGGUCUUCAUUGUUCAGAUCUGGAAAAAUCUUGUCAUUUCUCAAAUUUUCAUCUUUGUUCCUCUUUGUUCCCUUCUCUCAUCUCUUGUAACGAAAUCAUUGCAAAAUUUUUCCAAAACAACCAUCUCGUCUGUAUUGCUCUUUCCCUUCUCGUCCUUCUUCUUCUUCUACUUCAUUUUCCUGUCUCUAUUGUUCUACAAAGUGAACAGUGGAGAGCGUGGACUAUUCUUGGGCUGGAACGAGUCUAGUCCAAACCUAAAUGUAUUGGAUUAGGUCUAACCUAAUAAAAUAAAAUAAAAAUCUAAUUUUUUUUUCAAAUAUUGUGUUUUAUUUGAAAAACUAGUUUAACAUUAUUUGAUGAUACUACAUAAUUACAUUAGAAGAAGAUCGCAUGAUAACGUAGCAUUUGCAGAAUUUGAUUGCAAUCCUAAUUUGUUCCUGAUGAUAUUUUACUUGAUAUUGUUGCACGCUCAGGAAGCAAUGGAAACUAUAGUCCUUGUCGGAGGGAUUUCAUAUGUGAUGAAAUUGCAGAUAGUUUAAUGAAAUAAUAAAAAAUAUUUUAUAUAAAGUAUUGUUUAUUUCAUGAUGUAAUAGCAGUAGUUAAAUUUAUAAUAUUUCAAUUAAAAAUCAUCAAUAUUAAUAUAUGUUUGUUUUAGUUAUUUUAUAAUCUUAAUUUGAAAAAUAUUCUUAACCAAAUACAUUAAAUUAUUUUUUUUUCAACCUUAAUUUCAACCACAGUUUUAACCAAAUAUAUAUUUUACCAAACCAAUCUCAACUAAAAAUGAUUUUUAUAAAACAAUUUUCUUUAAAUUAUAACUAUAAAAACUACUACAAUACCAAAUACAUUUUUAUACUCGUUUGUAAAAUUAUUUCUUUGUACUUGGCUUUUAUAAUGAAAUUACUUUUUUUUUUUUAAUACUUGACAAGAAAUAUCAAUUGCUAUUGUGGUAAAUUUGUCUCUUCAAUUUUGAAUGCAUGGUGAGAUUGUUUAUUUAUUCUUGGAAGCGAAAAACUAGCAUUUGGGGUUUUUCUUUUUUAAUCCUUUCAUAUUCUUUUUAUAAUUUUGUUUUUCAAUCUAGAUUUAUGAAUUUUUUUUAAUUUGAUUUUUAUUAUUUUGAUUUGUUUUUUAUCCUUUCAUUCAUUUGAUUUCUUUUAAAUUUCACCACCACUCAUUCAAGAAUUCAUAGUUGUCUUUUAAUUUAAUUUUUAUUUUUUUAAUUGUUAUUUGUAGUCUUGGAUUUUUUUUGUAUAAUUAAUUUUUUUUUAUUUAAUCCCUUAACAUUUGAUUGGAUGAGGAUUAUGUUUUGUGAUUUUUUCAUCUAUAGUAUAUAAUGACAUGGUUUAUAUGUUUAAAAAGUUAUCAUAAGUUGAAAUUUUUUUUUUACUUAUUUUUUUUUAUUUCAUUGUUCGACAUUAGUUUUUUAUAUAUAAAAAGGGCCGUGUGUUUUCUUUAAUUUUUUUUAUUAGGUUAUUAUAAUCUAUGCUGUAAGAUUUGCAAGUUAAUCCAGGUUAGACCACCUCUUAUUAUAUGUGUUACAUGUUUGUAAUGCUAUUUUGAAUUGAUUUUUUUUAUUUAAUUUUAUCAUUUCAUAAUUAAUUAGCUUAAAAUUGGGCAACAUUAUUUUCCUUUCAUUAUUGAAAAAAGAGUAAUUGAUUUUUCUUCCUUUUUAAAAUGGGACUGCAUCAUAUAAACAUUAAUUUAAAAAAAAAACACAAAUAUGAAAUAAUACGCCGCGGGCCUAUGUCUAGUUUCAGCUAAAACAGAAAGUUCUGAAACAAGACUUGGUUAAUUGAGAUUCAUGUCCUUGUGCUGCUUACAGAGGCUUCAACUGCCUUCAAAUAGUCACACUGGGGAACUGGCAUAAUCCUCGACCUGCACAAAAGAAAAAAAAUCACAAAAAGAAGAAGAGAGUAACAAAGUGAAUCUUUCAUGUCGCAAACUUGCAUCAUGCUUUGGCAAAUAAGAAAUGUAGUUUAGAUAUCAAGUUCAGGUGAAUCAUGCUUUCGCAAUUGAUGUUUUUUUUUACUAAUUUUCUAUUCGUUUGUAAAAUAGUCGUGCAAGCGAGGUAAAAUCAUAGGGUAAUUAAUAUUUAUGUUGGUGUUAAUGUGUUUGAGGAUUGUUCACGGUCCUCAAAGCCACCCAUCACUUAAAAUCAUGCAGACUCACUUGGAUCACUGGUGGUCUGCACAGCAAGUCCAUUGAAGUAGCAAUUGGCACCCUGGCUCCUGAACUUAGCCCAAUACGAGCUAAAUGCAAAACUGGCAUGCCAAAUUACUGACAAUGGCUCAUAACAUUCCUUCCCUGGGGUCAAGGCUUCGCAGGUCCCGUUUCCUUGACUGCAUGCAAAAGUUAAUGCUCUUUCCAACUCUGUCAGAUUGACGUCCGGUGCUGCCACGCACCAUGAUUUGCCUUCAUAGGGCAUGUCAUUUUGUGUUGCAGGUAGCGGUUCAUAGUCUGAUGAUGCUCUCUUCCCUGUCAAAUCAAUUUGAUAUAUAGACGUCCCAUUUGGAUGCAACAAGCCCCAGUGCCGCUCUGUUCCCGGGCCAGUCUUUUGGUUCUCAUCGUACAAGGAAAAGAUAAAUGCUGGUAUGAACAAACCUGGUCUAGCUGGGGUGCCGAUUAGGGGCUGACUAGUCAUCUUUGUAACAAGAUUCCGAUUGUAAGUAGCUGCGUUGUAAAUGCUAGCACCAGUUUCACCGAUAUCGCCUGCAUUAGGCCAGCCAGUUUCAGCUAUCGAAAGCCGGAUACUGUGAAAGCCAAGUUUGGUCAUGGCAAAAACAAGGGAGUCAAGCAUUUGGUCUAGGAGGUUGGUGUAGACCAAGCCACUACCGGGGUCAGUGUAUUUGAUAUUUGAUUGUAACAACGCAAAAUCGAGGUUUAUAUUGAUGGGAUUUGCAGACCAAGGGAAAUAAGGGUAGACGUCAAUGAAGAAAAAUGACUUGGUGCUGUUUAAGAAUUUUAGCAAUGGCAUCAUCACGGUAGUUGAGAUAUCAGGCCGAAAAGUCCCAGUGGAUGGUGGAAAAGCUGUUUGCAGCACGUCCAUGGCUAGCGGAGUACCUACUUUGAUGUUACGGAUAUCCUGAGCUCUGAGAGAGAUCUUGAUUCUACGCAUUGCAGGCACAAGAUGAUUCCAAAUCCGUUUUCCUUCAUCUGAACAGUAGCUGAGAACUUCAUUGCCAACAAGAAUGGUACGGAUCAUGGUUUCAGGGUGGUAAGCGAGGACAUUGUCUUCGACCCAUUUGUUGGCGGAGGUCUGGUUGGUGGCUAAGUUGAUGAUUUCAUAAUUGGGAACCAUAAUGGAGACCCGAAUAUCAGUUCCUGCUAAGAGUCUCAGGAUUUCAGGGUUGGCAUCAUAGAGCUUUACACUGCCAGCUUUCAUGGUUCUAAGAGAUUCUAUGGAUUGACCUGCAGAUGGCAAGUUGUUCCCAAGCAGGCCAUAGUUCACCCCAAUCUUCCCUGAAGGCAUUGCAUCUGUCAAAGUGAAAAUUCUGGAAUUAGUUGAGAAAAAUGAACAAGAAAACUGAAAGAGACAUGUCUGGUGGCAGAAAACUUACCAGAGAGAACAAGAAGAGAGAGGAAAAGGAGAGCAUCGCCACACAUUUUUCUUGUCAUUUUGUUUCCUGAAGCAUAGUAUGUCUUCCCAUUACAGAGUUCUUAUUGGAACUUCUAUAAGAACUCUUGAAGCUCGAACUAAAUGGACUCUGCUAUCUUUGUA